UACGUAUGGAGCAAGCGUUAUCCGGAUUUACUGGGUGUAAAGGGUGCGUAGGCGGCACAGCAAGUCAGAUGUGAAAGACCGGGGCUCAACCCCGGGGCUGCAUUUGAAACUGCCGAGCUUGAGUCCGGGAGAGGCAGGCGGAAUUCCUAGUGUAGCGGUGAAAUGCGUAGAUAUUAGGAGGAACACCAGUGGCGAAGGCGGCCUGCUGGACCGGAACUGACGCUGAGGCACGAAAGUGUGGGGAGCAAACAGG
rnacentral:rRNA from 1 species